rnacentral:rRNA from 1 species
CCGUGAUAAAGUAGCAUAAUCACUUGUCACUUAAUUGGUGACUAGAAUGAAUGGUUUAACGAAUUUACAUCUGUCUCUAAGAGAAAUUUAGAAAAAUUGAAUUAACAGUGAAGAUACUGUUUAUUAAUUGAAAGACGAAAAGACCCUAUUUGAGCUUUACUAUAUGUUUAUUACAUUAAAACACAUAAUAAAGGUAUAAGACUAUAACCUGUAAACAAGUUAGUUUGGUUGGGGCGACCACCCCUAAAAAAGUAUCAGGGGAACUCUAAUGGUUUUAAUUUAAUAUAAUUAGCCUUACUGAAAAUAUACAUAUUAAACAGUUAUUAAAAAUAUAGGAUAUAUUGACCCAUUGAUUUAUUUGACUUUAAAAUCAAUGAAUAUGAAAAAAGUUACCGUAGGGAUAACAGGGUAAUAUUUUCUAAGAGUUCAUAUUGAUGAAAAU